rnacentral:rRNA from 1 species
UACGGAGGGAGCUAGCGUUGUUCGGAAUUACUGGGCGUAAAGCGCGCGUAGGCGGCUUUGUACGUUAGAGGUGAAAGCCCGGAGCUCAACUCCGGAACUGCCUUUAAAACUGCAUCGCUUGAAUCCAGGAGAGGUGAGUGGAAUUCCGAGUGUAGAGGUGAAAUUCGUAGAUAUUCGGAAGAACACCAGUGGCGAAGGCGGCUCACUGGACUGGUAUUGACGCUGAGGUGCGAAAGCGUGGGGAGCAAACAGG